GACAGAGGGUGCAAACGUUGUUCGGAAUUACUGGGCGUAAAGCGCGUGUAGGCUGCCUUGCAAGUCGGGUGUGAAAUCCCUGGGCUCAACCUAGGAAGUGCACUCGAAACUGCCGGGCUGGAGAUCUGGAGAGGAAAGCGGAAUUCUCGGUGUAGAGGUGAAAUUCGUAGAUAUCGAGAGGAACACCGGUGGCGAAGGCGGCUUCUGGACAGCAUCUGACGCUGAGACGCGAAAGCGUGGGGAGCAAACAGG
rnacentral:rRNA from 1 species